CGGGUAGUAUCCGUUUUCAGGGAACUGCACCGCAAAACCAGCAAACCAUUUUGAUUACGAUAAUUUAGUCUGCCUUGAUCCGAAGGACUGGGACAGAGGA
rfam:Bacillus sp. SJS contig_01, whole genome shotgun sequence.